rnacentral:rRNA from 1 species
GACGAACGCUGGCGGCGUGCUUAACACAUGCCAGUCGAACGGAAAGGCCCUGCUUUUGUGGGGUGCUCGAGUGGCGAACGGGUGAGUAACACGUGAGUAACCUGCCCUUGACUUUGGGAUAACUUCAGGAAAAUGGGGCUAAUACCGGGUAGAAUCUCCUGCUGCAUGGUGGGGGUUGGUAAGUUUCGGCGGUUGGGGAUGGUCUCGCGGCUUAUCAGCUUGUUGGUGGGGUAGUGGCUUACCAAGGCUUUGACGGGUAGCCGGCCUGAGAGGGUGACCGGCCACAAUGGGACUGAGAUACGGCGCAGACUCCUACGGGCCGCAGCAGUCGGGAGUAUUGCACAAUGGGCGGGAGCCUGAUGCAGCAACGCCGCGUGCGGGAUGACGUCCUUCGGGUUGUAAACCGCUGUCGCCUGUGACGAAGCGUGAGUGACGGUAAUGGGUAAAGAAGCACCGGCUAACUACGUG